CAGUAGCCACGGUAAAACGAAGGGUGCAAGCGUUACUCGGAAUUACUGGGCGUAAAGCGUGCGUAGGUGGUGGUUUAAGUCCGUUGUGAAAGCCCUGGGCUCAACCUGGGAAUUGCAGUGGAUACUGGGUCACUAGAGUGUGGUAGAGGAUAGUGGAAUUUCCGGUGUAGCAGUGAAAUGCGUAGAGAUCGGAAGGAACAUCUGUGGCGAAGGCGACUAUCUGGGCCAACACUGACACUGAGGCACGAAAGCGUGGGGAGCAAACAGGAUUAGAGACCCCGUGUAGUCCCUGUCUCUUAUA
rnacentral:rRNA from 1 species